UUUAAAUUUGGCACAGUCAAGUUGCUGCAGCCCUAAAGUGGCCAUUUUGCAAUGCUCUCCUGCUUGUUGCAUCUGUUUCUUCUCUUUUCAGGAGAAAGCCCAAAGACUACAUGAAGAUGGAGAAUUGAUCAGAGUUGGUUUGUCCAUGUUAUGGCAGAUACAUACCAGUGAAGGAUUGUGGAAUGCAGUGGGAGCGACCCAAUGAAGUCAAACAAAAAACUACACGGCAUACAUUUAUUUAUUAUUUGUAUUGCUGCAGUGCCUAGCAGCCCCAGUUAUGGAUCAGGAAACAUAACAAAAAGACAGUCCCUGCCCCCCAGAAGGCUUAUGCAACAUUAUUUUUGUGCAGAGGGGCUAAUAAGGCAAGGGGCUGAUCUACUUCUGUUGAUGUGACGGACUCACCAAUAGGAGAUGAGGGUGCUGAGAGCUUUCCAGGAAUCACUCAGCACUGGCACGAGAGAGGUGAUUUGGAACAGUUCACAAUGUCUGAUAUUUACAUGAAAAAGAGCAGAAUGAAUAUUCAAGGGUGGAGAAAAAGUUUCUUGCUUUCAUUUAAAUGUUUGAAAACAGCUCUAUUUUUGAAAAAUGUUGUACAUUUUCUUGCUGAAGUUUCUUGUAAGCUAUAUGAUCUCUGAAAUUUCCCCUGUGAUAUUGGGACAUGCCAACAUUGUCAAAAAAGGUUUGUUUCUUUUGAAAUCAAAGAGAAAAUUAUUGCACCAACACGUACACACAUGAAUAUCUGACUUACCUGAGUAAUUCUUUUCACUUAAUUGGAGCUACUCACUUGAGUAAAGUUAAUCAUGUACAUAUGUGUUUAUAGUCUUUGGUCCUUAAAGGAAAUAAUGUCUUCAAUGGUAUGAUGCUUUUGAGAGUACCUGCAUGGCUCAUAUUUUAUUUAAAAAUUGUUUAUGUAGAGAGUGCAGGUUUUCCGCUUAUAGAUAGAACAGUUUCAUUCCUGAAGUAUUGAGAGAAUAUGUAUCUAUUCUUCCCACAGUAGAGAAAAGAAACAAAUCUCACUGACCCUUGUGGGAGUGUUAUGGGGUUAAGGAGGAGUGCUACUGUGCUGUAGGAUAACUGGCACCCUACUACCAUAACUUCCAUAUAUUAGUGAAUUGAGAGCUUGUUAGAAUAAAAAUUUUGAUUCACUUUCACACUUAGUAGGUUGAAAGUUCACUCAGACAUGAGCUUUUCACUCACGGCUUUUUUAAUUCGUUGACUCUUCUGUCCAUGAGUAGAUCUUUUAUUGCCAGAAUGUGCUCUUGUGCAUAUUGAAGUCAAUAGCAAAACUCCCAGGGACCAGGAUUUUACUCUUGAAAGAUGUGUAUAUUCAGGGCAAAAAUUUGAUUAUAAAAUCUAAAUGUAUACAGCAUCUUACUUCCUUUAAAAGAAAAGCAAAAUUCAACAGGGCAAUAGCUCAACGUGUAUUAUAUCUGCUCUCUUACCAUCUCUACUUGUAAUACCAUAUUUUUGCAGUAAAACACCUCUAAAAUGUAAAAACCUAACAAUGAUUUAGGCAAUGUUUUAUAUUUUAGACAAUAGCCCCUCCAUUUUGCAAAGAGAGAGAGACAAGGUUUAAAUCACUGACUGACUGACUGUAUCUCCCAUUAACCUUAAUAGGAUUCGCAGGGCUAAAAACAGGUGCGAUACUUUAGAAACUCAGUUUGAGAAAAAUUGUCAGAGAUGAACCUUUUUGCAUUUUCUCUCUAUAAUUGCUACUUUACCACUAAAGCUAUUAUUUUGAUAUUUGGCACACUGCUCCUCUACUUCAAGAUGUGUUAACAGAUGCUUUGGCAGGUUCCAAAGCAUAAUAGUUUUCAAGCUGUGGCCAGUCAGAUGAGUAAUGCCAGUGGAGAGUGCCGGACUAUUUCAUUUCAGAAUUACAUGUAGUCAGAUGGUUAUGAUUUUGUGUAUCAUUUCAGCUAUCUUUAGUAUAAGCUUUAGAGAAUUUUCUUUCUUAUUUAGAUCAUAUUUUGUUACCAGGACAGGAAUGACCACUUUCCAAAUCUUUACAAAAUAUCUAUGUACAAAUAUAACCUGGAGUUUUUCCAUUCAGCUAUGUUCUACAGUUCUUGAUCAGGUGACAAGUUUGUGUAUAUUUCAUGCUUCAGGGUGUACUGGUGUGUAUGAAUUUUCUACAUUCAAGACUAAACUGAUAUACAGUCAGAAAACAACUAUAACAUAUUUAACUCUAAGCUUUAUUCCUUGGUUUGUACGUAGUAUGUUUCUUUUUUACAUUUCUAAAUAAGGCUAGUGCCAAUGUUCUGAGUGGUAGAUUUUGGUGAAGAGAAUAUAAUACACCUUCAUUCACUCCUGUGAGAUGCUGAGUGCCCCAAAACUCGCACCCAAGCCCAGCUGAUUUUUUAUUUGUACUUUUAAGAAUAAAGCAAUAGGGUAGGACAUAAGACUUACUUUCACUCAAUGCACUGGGUACAUGAGUCCCCUCAUGCAUAUUCUUUGUUCACACUUGCACAGGAGUGAAACAACCUUGAAGUCCCCAGUAUGUGUCACACAUGCCAAAUAUGAUAGAAUAAUUUGUGGGAAUAAGGGAUGAGGAUGGUGAGGAAACUGAAGUAGGGUUUUCUGAUUUGUAUAUUAAAAAUGAGUUACAAGGAACAGUUAGAAUCACAGAACAUGUUCCAUUUGUGUUUGAUCCUCUUGACCUAUGGAGUUUUUUUUUGUUUUGUUUAUUGUUUUCCCCAUAUUUUCAUUUGAUGUCUGGAGGGGAAAUCAGACUGUAAAGUUGAGAUUGGUAAAGUCCUACAUGCUAAUCCCUUUGAGCUGCUUAACAAUAAGUUACAGUGUUACCGUGAUGCCUUUGGAAAUUCUUUGUAUUAUUUUUCCUUUUUACUAUGAUAAUAAGACCUUCUGAAUCAUAAUAGAAUUUAUGAUAUUAAAUACUUUAAGAGAGAUCAUUUA